GGAGUGGGCCGGGCGGUCGCGCGCGUCGAAGGUGGGCGCGUGAGGAAAGUCCGGACUCCAAAGGGCAUGGUGCCUGCUAACGGCAGGGCAGGGUGACCUGACGGAAAGUGCCACAGAAAAGAAAACUCUCGUGGCGAAAUCCGGCACGAGAAAAGCUGAAACGGUGCGGUAAGAGCGCACCAGCGUCGCGGUGACGCGGCGGCUUGGCAAACCCCACCAGGAGCAAGGGCAUAUAGGAGCGGCUAAGACCGGCCCGGUCGACGCUCGGGUAGCCCGCUAGAGGCCGCCGGUGACGGCGGCCCCAGAUAGAUGAUCGUCCUUAGACAGAAUCCGGCUUACAGGCCCACUCCACCG
rnacentral:RNase_P_RNA from 1 species